UUCUAAUUGCUUAAUAAUUAGUAAGACCUGCACGAUGAUUACACAAACUUCAUUUGCCUUAAAUUGCCGCUAACGUGCUAAGGUAGCACAAUAAAUCGCCUGCUAAUUGUAGGAUAGGAUGAAAGGUCUAACGCGAACCUUUCUUUAUUAUUUUCUAUCUUUGAAAUUAUCGUAAAAGUAAAAAGACUUUUAUUAUUAGAGGGACGACAAGACCCUGUCGAGUUUAACUUAUGUUGAGCUGGGGCGGCUAAAAACAAAAUCUUUCAAUUUGACAUAACUAAAAUCCUUCAUUAUGAUACAACAAACUACCGCAGGGAUAACAGCAUAAUUUUUUCCCAGAGACCUUAUCAAAGAAAAAGAUUGUGACCUCGAUGUUGAAUAAAAAUCUCCUUAAAGCAAAAUUUAAGAAUAGAAAGUCUGUUCGACUUUUAAUAAUUUACA
rnacentral:rRNA from 1 species